UUCCGGUUGAUCCCGCCGCCGGACCUGACUGCUAUCGGAUUGAUACUAAGCCAUGCGAGUCAUUGUAGCAAUACAAGGCAUACGGCUCAGUAACGCGUAGUCAACCUAACCUAUGGACGGGAAUAACCUCGGGAAACUGAGAAUAAUGCCCGAUAGAACAUUAUGCCUGGAAUGGUUUAUGUUCCAAAUGAUUUAUCGCCGUAGGAUGGGACUGCGGCCUAUCAGUUUGUUGGUGAGGUAAUGGCCCACCAAGACUAUUACAGGUACGGGCUCUGAGAGGAGUAGCCCGGAGAUGGGUACUGAGACACGGACCCAGGCCCUAUGGGGCGCAGCAGGCGAGAAAACUUUGCAAUGUGCGAAAGCACGACAAGGUUAAUCCGAGUGGUUUCUGCUAAAGGAACCUUUUGUCAGUCCUAGAAACACUGAUGAAUAAGGGGUGGGCAAGUUCUGGUGUCAGCCGCCGCGGUAAAACCAGCACCUCAAGUGGUCAGGAUGAUUAUUGGGCCUAAAGCAUCCGUAGCCGGCUCUGUAAGUUUUCGGUUAAAUCUGUACGCUCAACGUACAGGCUGCCGGGAAUACUGCAAAGCUAGGGAGUGGGAGAGGUAGACGGUACUCGGUAGGAAGGGGUAAAAUCCUUUGAUCUAUUGAUGACCACCUGUGGCGAAGGCGGUCUACCAGAACACGUCCGACGGUGAGGGAUGAAAGCUGGGGGAGCAAACCGGAUUAGAUACCCGGGUAGUCCCAGCUGUAAACCAUGCAAACUCAGUGAUGCAUUGGCUUGUGGCCAAUGCAGUGCUGCAGGGAAGCCGUUAAGUUUGCCGCCUGGGAAGUACGUACGCAAGUAUGAAACUUAAAGGAAUUGGCGGGGGAGCACCACAAGGGUGAAGCCUGCGGUUCAAUUGGAGUCAACGCCGGG
rnacentral:rRNA from 1 species